rnacentral:rRNA from 1 species
AACGAACGCUGGCGGCACGCCUAACACAUGCAAGGCGAGCGCACCUUCGGGUGAGCGGCGGACGGGUUAGUAACGCGUGGGAACAUACCCUUUUCUACGGAAUAGCCUCGGGAAACUGAGAGUAAUACCGUAUACGCCCUUCGGGGGAAAGAUUUAUCGGGGAAGGAUUGGCCCGCGUCUGAUUAGAUAGUUGGUGGGGUAAUGGCCUACCAAGUCGACGAUCAGUAGCUGGUUUGAGAGGAUGAUCAGCAACACUGGGACUGAGACACGGCCCAGACUCCUACGGGAGGCAGCAGUGGGGAAUCUUAGACAAUGGGCGAAAGCCUGAUCUAGCGAUGCCCGCGUGAGUGAUGAAGGCCUUAGGGUCGUAAAGCUCUUUCGCCAGGGAUGAUAAUGACAGGACCUGGUAAAGAAACCCCGGCUAACUCCGUGCCAGCAGCCGCGGCAAUACGGAGGGGGUUAGCGUUGAUCGGAAUUACUGGGCGUAAAGCG